GCUCCCGUGGGACAGUCGGCAGUCCAUGGUGCUUAUAGGGUAUAACCUAUGCUUGAGUCACGCCAGGGUCGCGAGUUCGAUCCUCGCCGGGAGCA